GAUGAACGCUGGCGGCGUGCCUAAUACAUGCAAGUCGAGCGAACAGACGAGGAGCUUGCUCCUCUGACGUUAGCGGCGGACGGGUGAGUAACACGCGGAUAACCUACCUAUAAGACUGGGAUAACUUCGGGAAACCGGAGCUAAUACCGGAUAAUAUAUUGAACCGCAUGGUUCAAUAGUGAAAGACGGUUUUGCUGUCACUUAUAGAUGGAUCCGCGCCGCAUUAGCUAGUUGGUAAGGUAACGGCUUACCAAGGCAACGAUGCAUAGCCGACCUGAGAGGGUGAUCGGCCACACUGGAACUGAGACACGGUCCAGACUCCUACGGGAGGCAGCAGUAGGGAAUCUUCCGCAAUGGGCGAAAGCCUGACGGAGCAACGCCGCGUGAGUGAUGAAGGUCUUCGGAUCGUAAAACUCUGUUAUUAGGGAAGAACAAAUGUGUAAGUAACUAUGCACGUCUUGACGGUACCUAAUCAGAAAGCCACGGCUAACUACGUG
rnacentral:rRNA from 1 species